rnacentral:lncRNA from 10 species
GCUUGUUUACAGCUCGUGUCCUUGAAAGGUCGCCCGCUCACACCAACACCCAUCUCCAAUUGUGAACAAGAAAUGGCGCCACCAGACUCUCUUCGAGGCUCCUGCAGGGAGUUUACUACAGAAACAAAAUUCUGUCAACACAAAGCAUUAAGCGAAAGGAUGCCAGACCAGCCGAAGACAUUUCUGGUGGCCAGAGCUUCGAAAGGCCCUCUGCACACACAGUCUAGAUGAGGAAGGGAAGGGAACAGAUGACAUGUGCAGUGCGUAAGGCAGGACUGUCCCCCAGCCCCCACAAGAUAGCACAGGAAAUAAAAUCAAAUGUGGGGCGUAAAACAAGGGCCAUUUCUCUUAGGUAUCAAAGACAUUCAUUUUAUAUUGUCUGCUCCAAUCACAUCUGCUUGAAAAUACAGUGUUAAAAAAAAAAAGCCUUUGCUUAAGGAUGAUCCUUCAAAUAACUUCAAAAGUCUGCAUUUUGAACUAAUUAAAAAGGGAAUUCCAACAUGAUUCCCCCAAAGACAGUGAAUAAGAAAAAUGGUAAAUAUCCCAAUUGAGAAAUGUGCUAUUACAGAAGAAAGAUAAUUAUAUAAACAUAAUUUACAUAAGAAAUAAAAAUGGUAAAUAAACAAAAAUCAAUAAUAUUAAAG